rnacentral:misc_RNA from 1 species
GGAAGGAUCAUUACUGAUUUGCUUAAUUGCACCACAUGUGUUUUUCUUUGAAACAAACUUGCUUUGGCGGUGGGCCCAGCCUGCCGCCAGAGGUCUAAACUUACAACCAAUUUUUUAUCAACUUGUCACACCAGAUUAUUACUAAUAGUCAAAACUUUCAACAACGGAUCUCUUGGUUCUCGCAUCGAUGAAGAACGCAGCGAAAUGCGAUACGUAAUAUGAAUUGCAGAUAUUCGUGAAUCAUCGAAUCUUUGAACGCACAUUGCGCCCUCUGGUAUUCCGGAGGGCAUGCCUGUUUGAGCGUCGUUUCUCCCUCAAACCGCUGGGUUUGGUGUUGAGCAAUACGACUUGGGUUUGCUUGAAAGACGGUAGUGGUAAGGCGGGAUCGCUUUGACAAUGGCUUAGGUCUAACCAAAAACAUUGCUUGCGGCGGUAACGUCUACCACGUAUAUCUUCAAACUUUGACCUCAAAUCAGGUAGGACUACCCGCUGAACUUAAGCAUAUCAAUAAGCGGGGAGGG